GUUAUUUUAAAUUUUCUAUGAAAUUUUAUAUAUCUGAGUACAGCUAAAAACAUGUGUUCCCUUGCUAGAUAUUAGGUCAUACUAUAUUUAUACUAAAUUGAUAUUUUGUUGCCAUAAUGACGUAUCACAUAACAACAUAGAACUCGGUGGCUUAUGGCAAUAAGUUUUCUUCUGUGUCUACAGGUUGGCUGAGAUGGCUUUGCUUGAUCUUUGUAUUGGCUAUGCUGGAAUUCAGGUUUCCUGGUUUCAGGUCUGCUCUGUAUGUCGUCACAUUUCUCAUGGUGGUUCAUAGCAGGACAAAAGCCUUGGCUUGAAAUUAGCACACUGUCAUUUCUCCCUGCAUUCUGUUGGCCAAAACAAGUCACAGGGCCAGGCCCCACACCAAUAAAAUGUAGGAAAGAAUAUUCUACCUACUUCUCUGAACUGCAGAGUCAUACGACAAGAGAGACUGAGUGACUAAAUAGUCAAACUGCCUCUAGUCAAUAUAAUAAAAACUGUAUCGUAGGAGAUUAGCUUUAUAGUAAUCAUGCAAAUUUAAUAUACUAUGAAUCUGGACAAUAUGAUAGGAAGAUAAUAGUUCAAUUUGUAAAUGAUAUUCGUCCAAAUGGCUAACCAACUGAAAAGAAACACAUUUGAAUUCCUAUUUAACACUAUAUUCAAAUAAAUUUUAGCAUAAAUAUUAUAAAUUUAAAUAUCAAAAAACAAGUUAUAUCUAUAAAAAAUUUAGAGGAUUUUGGGUAGAGCUGUUUAAAUAGAAAGGCAAUUCUGAAGCUUUAAAAGAAAAUAUGGACAUAUUUAUGUAGAUUUAAAUUUUUUGCAUGUGGCAAAAAGUAACACCAGUAAACAACAUUAUUUGGGGAAAAUAUUUUUGAAAUAUAUGUGGCAGUAUAUAUAGUUUAUGAUGACCAAAUAUAGUAUAGUAAAAGUUCUUACAUACUGAUAAAGAACAAAUUCACCCAAUAGGGAAAUGAAGUUUAUAAAAAGACGUUUCAUAGGAGAGUAAAUUCCUAUCACAAAUACAUGUAUCAAAAUAAGCUGAGCCUACUUUUGUACCCAAUUUUCAGAGAAAUCAAAGAAAUCAGGAGUUCCUGUUGCAGCGCAGUGGUUAACGAAUCAGACUAGGAACCACGAGGUUGCGGGUUUGAUCCCUGCCCUCGCUCAGUGGGUUGACGAUCUGGCGUUGCCGUGAGCUGUGGUGUAGGUUGUAGAUGCGGCUUGGACCCUGUGUUGCUGUGGCUGUGGUGUAGGCCGGCGGCUACAGGUCCGAUUANAAAAAAAAAAAAAAAAAAAAAAAAAAAAAAGAAAAAAAGAAAUCAAAGUUCUCAGUAAAUUCUGAGAACUUAUUUUAUACUCAUUAUAUUGGCAAAAAUUACAAAAAGCAUGAUAACACCUACUGCUGGUGGGGAUCAUAUAAAGACACUUUAAGUAUUAAUGGUGGAAACAUGCAUCAUUGCAGGCUCUUGUGGAAAUCAAUCUGGCAGAGUUAUUAAAAUGAAAAUCACGUUAUUCAACCAGAAAUAGCAUACUAUGUGACCCUAUCCUAUAGAAAUAAAAAUAUGAACACAUAAAUAUAUAUAUGUAAGUUAACUGUUUAUUUCUUUAUUAUUCAAAGAAAUAAAACUUGGGAACCAGAUAAGAAUUUAUAAGUAGGAAUGUGCAUAAAUCAUGGCAUAUUUUUACAAAAUUAUUUUCAUGGUAUAAUUAUACAGCAUUAUUUUUAUAUAGCUAUUAGUAAGGAAGACUUAAGAGGUAACAAGAAUAGUGAGAGGACAUGGAAGGGAAGUAAGCAUCCAAACACUGAGAACAUACCAGAGACAAAGAUUCAGAGCAUUUGGGAUUCAACAAGUCUUGGUUGGGUGUUCAUUGUAACAUAGGAAACUAAUUACCAUCGUAACUGGGAAACUCAUUCUAAAUCCACAUACCUGACUUGGAGAGAAUGCUUAGAGACCCAUGUGUUUAGAACCUGGCUGGCUAUCGGCUUAUUCCCUACUUGUAGGUUCUGUGAGACCUUAGAGGGGUGGGGCUGGGGCAGAGAUCAGGAAGCUGGAGUGUGUAGUAAUUACUGGAAACCUCAACCAACCCCUGUGUCUGGGUUUGACACUCUUAUUAUACCUAAAAGAAAAUCAUAUGAUUUUAAAGCUGACUUCAUUUUACUGAAGAAGCAACCAGAGUCCAUAUAUUGAAUAAUUUAUUUGUGUUCACCAUUUUGAGGCAGAUCCAGAAGUCAAGUUCUCAUCUCUCUACACUUUGACCCUAUAUUUAUAUUGAUUUAAUGAAUUUCUGAGCAUUCUUUAAUUUUUCUUAUUUUGAAUCUUAUUUGUUUCUCACUACUAAUCACCUUCUCUUUCAAAGCAGCUUAAGGUUCCAAUUUAUUGAGUAGCUAUCUUGUGCCAGAUUCUUUGCAUACUUUGUCAUUAAUCCUUGCAACGACACUCUAAAUUUGGACAACAGUAUAACAAUUUUAACUUUGAUGAAACAGCCAAAGAAAGAUAAAUAAUUUGCCCACAGUAAGGAAAUUAUGCAGAGGGGAUCAGAACUGAUAACAGAGCCUAAGUUCUCUCUACUUCAUCACACUGCCUUCACUUCACCUCCACCUCCACCAAUUCUAGUUGGUGCCUCCUUGGGGUGAUAUUUCCCCUGUCUUUUCUUCUAAAGCAGUAGUUCUCAACUUAUGUGACUAUGAGGAAUAUUUUCUAACACCAAACAUUUUCUCAGACCAGUAUCUCAGAGUAGUUAUAUUUAAUUAUUUGCAAUUACUGAUAUAAUACAUAAUGAAAAUAAACGUAUGAAUUUAAUAAACACAUCUUUUAGAUUAAUUUACAUUUGAUUCAUCUUACAGUAUUGACAGAAAUUUGAAAAGAAUAGUGAUAUAUGCAAUCAUAUUAUCUCAUCAUUUGAAAAUGCCUGAAAUGUAUACAAAUCUCAACAUUCCUAAUUAUAUUUCAGGGGCUCCCCAGAGAUCCACAAUUCUAUGGCUGGAAGACAGUGUUCUGUAAGUUUUCAGCAUCUGUUCCUUCUGCUCCCUUAAGUUACCAGCCUGCAGUUUGCACGGGCUGGCUUUUAUCUAGAGUAAUUUUUGACUUCCUUCUGCAUUCACUGCAUGAUCAGUGGCCUUAUAAUUGGUCUGCUCAAAAUGAUGAAACAAGGUGAUAUUGGACCAGCUUCUUGCUCCUAAUCGCUUCUUGGUCCUAGAGUAAACAUUGAAGGUAGAACCUCAUUUCUCCUCUACCUCCCAGCUUUGAGGCAACACUGAAUCCUUCCACCCACCCAACCUCUUGUCAAUUCAUUUCAGAGUUGUCAUCUCUCUGUAUCACUCACCUAUCACUAACCCCUGACUUAUUUACUUGGUACAUGACAUUUACCUACCUACCACCACCAUCCUGCCCAGCUCAAUUCUAACAUAAGUGGGCCUUUUGAUUGUUUAAUCUAUGAUCUACAUCGGUGUUUAUUCGUGCUAUAAUUUGGGCUUUUGGUAGAGGCAAGAAGUGGUAUGGAGUUCUGACCUAGUGUUUGCUAAGUUUUGGUAUGGAACCAUGCUUCUUGUUUGUCUGAUCUGCAAUUCUAAUGCAAGUAAUGACUUCAAGGUUCUUGUUCAGUUCUAUAAUUUCAAGACUUUCUGAGUCACAGAAUAUUCCCUUAGGAACCCAUUCAUAUAAGAGUCCCCAUGUCAGAAUUCCUGAAUCCAGGUACUACCAUCUUUCCCACCUAUACCAUCAUACAAUAGUGUGAUCCAACUUAACGACACCAGUAUUCUGCUCUGGUCUCAUUCUAAUUUAGUUUGAGAAGCCAACCUAUUUUACUUCCUCUCACUAUCCCAUACACUCACAUACUUUGCCAGCCUUGUUUUGCCCUUGCUAGUCUUCUCCAGCUGCUGGAUUAUAGGUUUGUAACAUAUAUUUACUUAUCAGGAAAGCUGUGCUGUUUCAUUUUAGACCUUCAUUCUACUUGCCCAAAGUGUGAAUGAAUUUGGCCACAAUCUUAGAAAAAUCAUGCCCAGUAUUUCAAUUUGAGGAAACAACUCGGUAAAGCCACAAUUUUCAACAGUGGGUUAGGGUAGGAUUUUCUCUACACAUAGUCUAUAUAGGUCAAUGGAGAGAAGGUGAUGAACACUGAAUUCUUAAGAAACUUGGGUCUAAGUUGGGGAACUGAACAAGAUAUAGUCAGUAAAUCAAGAGUGGGUCAAAAAAGAUAUAAAGCAAAAUAUAAACAAGCAAUAAAAAUCCAGGUUUUUAAAUUCAAGGGGCUCAGAUAAAAUAAGUGAAAUUCAGACAUAAAUAUGGAGCAAAGGAACACUCAAACAUUGCUGGUUGCUGGUUGGAAAUGUAAAAUGGCACAGCUACUCUGGCAGUUUCUUGAAAAACUAAAAUACUGUUACCAUCCGACUCAGCAAUCUCUCUCUUGAUAUUGCCUCUGAGGAAUUCAACACAUUAAGUCCACACAAAAACCUGCACACAAAUGUUUUUAAAAUGCCCAAACUUGGAAGCAACCAUAAUAUCUUCAGUAGCUGAAUGAUAAAUUAUUGUACAUUCAUCUAAUGGGAUAUUAUUCAGUGCUAAAUAGAAAUGAGAUAUCAAGCUAUGAAAAGACGCGGGGGAAACAUUAAAUGCAUUUUACUAAGUGAGAGCGCAAGUCAAUCUGAGAAGGCUACAUACUGCAUGACUGCAACUAUGUGAUAUCCUAGGAAAAGCAAAGAUGUGGAAACAAAAAGAUCAGUGAUUGCAAAGGGUGGGAUGAUGAAGAAAUGAAAAGGUGAAUGGGCAGAGAAAACAGAAGUUUUUAGGGCAGUGAAAAUACUCUGUAUGAUAUUACAAUUAUGGAUAUGUGUCAUUGUGUUUUUUUCCAAACCCACAGAAUGUUCUACAUUAAGAGUAAACCUUAAGAUAAACUAUGGACUUUGAGUUUAAA
rnacentral:lncRNA from 1 species